rnacentral:lncRNA from 10 species
AGGGACCAUUUCAGUAGAGCCUUUUAAGACACAUGUUUUGGAAUACAGUCAAAUGCGUGCUGCUGUAUGACCAGCCUAUUUGAACUACUUAAGCAUCAACUAAUUAAUCUGCAAGUGAAGAAUACUUCCAGCAUUACUCUAUAAUUAGACAAUCUCAGGAGGAAACAAGAGGAUUUCAAAGGGGAGUCAGAUGGUUUCGCAGACCGCUACAUCAUUUAUUUUUUCAUCACUCAGAUUAUGCCUCCAAAUCCUACAGAAGUAUAACAACCAUAGAACAGACAAACACCAACAGCAUCAACAACAGAGAAACUCAGUCCAGGAGGAUAUGAAACCCUUUGUAAUAAAGAAAGCAACAUCCAUGAA